AUUGAACGCUGGCGGCAUGCCUUACACAUGCAAGUCGAACGGUAACGGGCCUUCGGGUGCCGACGAGUGGCGAACGGGUGAGUAAUGUAUCGGAACGUACCUUUCAGUGGGGGAUAACGUAGCGAAAGUUACGCUAAUACCGCAUAUUCUGUGCGCAGGAAAGCAGGGGAUCGCAAGACCUUGCGCUGAUUGAGCGGCCGAUAUCAGAUUAGCUAGGUUGGUGAGGUAAAGGCUCACCAAGGCGACGAUCUGUAGCGGGUCUGAGAGGAUGAUCCGCCACACUGGAACUGAGACACGGUCCAGACUCCUACGGGAGGCAGCAGUGGGGAAUUUUGGACAAUGGGGGCAACCCUGAUCCAGCCAUGCCGCGUGAGUGAAGAAGGCCUUCGGGUUGUAAAGCUCUUUCGGCCGGGAAGAAAUCGUAUCAGCUAAUACCUGGUGCGGAUGACGGUACCGGCAUAAGAAGCACCGGCUAACUACGUG
rnacentral:rRNA from 1 species